ACCUAGUAAACCAGUAUUCGUCGAUAGAGACUUAAAAGCAAUUUUGUUAGAUGUCGUUUAAAUUGUACACACUGGCGAAAAAAAUAAUUUGACUGAAUUGAAUAAAACAAUUUGACUGAACGUUUAAACAAACUAUAUAUCGCGCAUGAAUAUAGACGGACGUUUGAACGCACCUUAGGUUUGACGUCAUUUACGCGGGAAAUCUUCGCGCGAAGAUUCAUUCAGUCUGUGCACAGCAAACAUGCUGCAUCUUCUUUCAAUAAAUAAUACGGACGAAACAAGAGUGGAUCGACAUUUUGGUUUUACUUGAAGUUCCCAGGUCCACUUGGAUUCAGCGCACAAUAGAAGCAGUCCUCAGGUUGUUCACAUGCUUUCGCUGUGGAGAGUCAGUGGAAGAAGACAUUAAUCUGUCUGUGGAGGAAACAACACCAGCCUUGGAAACAUUCAUAAACCAGAGUUCUACAAGACCCUGGUAUUGUUGAUAUGGCUGAUGCAUUACCAAAUUAUCCAAAGCAUGCCUUUACAAAUCUUUGGAUAAGCAGUUUCCAUUACUGAAUGGUGGCAGUUGUUACCAGUUAAUGCUGAACCAUUACUAAUUGUUUAAUUUUUUUGAUUUAUUUGGUUUAGUCCCCUGAUAGAUCCUUCAGUAGUUUAAGACUAUAAUGUUUUUCAUUUAUCGACAGCACUAUUUUUUUUUCUGGCACAAUGCCAUUGCUCUUUUUGCACUUUUUUCUAUUUGAUCUUUUUUCUUUUUUUCCCUUUCACUUCUGCACUUGAACUAAGUUGUUUUUUGUAUUGUCUUUUUAAUUUAACUGAAGUGAUAUUUUCCUAUAAUCAUUAUUGUAAUUUAAUUAUUGUCCUGUUCUGAUGGUAUUAGGUUUCCAAAAUGAUGGUACUUUACACUAUGCACUUACACGAUUUACUCUAUUCUAGUAUGUGCACAUAUUAAUUCAAUUAUCUCAAAUAAUACAUUAACAUUAUUUAGUAUAUUGAUUAUAUUAAUAUACUGUAAGUAAGGUACCCUACCCACUUUCAAAAACAAGAUUCUCUUAAUAUAAAGUUUUUAAUAUAUUUAAUAUAAAUAUUAUGUAUUUGAAAUGAGUCCAAUCAUGGGCAUUUUUGCAAUAUUAUGAUUAAUUCCUCUUUAUUUCUGUCUGCUUAAUUUUAUUAUCUCUGUUUUCACCACCUUAAAUGAAGCUUUUCUCUGUGUCUUUAUUUAUGUCAUUUAGGUUGUGAAUGUUUUUGUAGGCCAAACUAAAAAAAAUCAUGUAAAUAUACUGUAUAUAAUAUUAUAAAUAUAAAUUUUAUAUAUAUAAUUUUUUUAAUUCAGU